CAAGUCGAGGGGCAGCAUGGUCUUAGCUUGCUAAGGCCGAUGGCGACCGGCGCACGGGUGAGUAACACGUAUCCAACCUGCCGUCUACUCUUGGACAGCCUUCUGAAAGGAAGAUUAAUACAAGAUGGCAUCAUGAGUCCACAUGUUCACAUGAUUAAAGGUAUUCCGGUAGACGAUGGGGAUGCGUUCCACUAGAUAGUAGGCGGGGUAACGGCCCACCUAGUCUUCGAUGGAUAGGGGUUCUGAGAGGAAGGUCCCCCACAUUGGAACUGAGACACGGUCCAAACUCCUACGGGAGGCAGCAGUGAGGAAUAUUGGUCAAUGGGCGAGAGCCUGAACCAGCCAAGUAGCGUGAAGGAUGACUGCCCUAUGGGUUGUAAACUUCUUUUAUAAAGGAAUAAAGUCGGGUAUGCAUACCCGUUUGCAUGUACUUUAUGAAUAAGGAUCGGCUAACUCCGUGCCAGCAGCCGCGGUAAUACGGAGGAUCCGAGCGUUAUCCGGAUUUAUUGGGUUUAAAGGGAGCGUAGAUGGAUGUUUAAGUCAGUUGUGAAAGUUUGCGGCUCAACCGUAAAAUUGCAGUUGAUACUGGAUAUCUUGAGUGCAGUUGAGGCAGGCGGAAUUCGUGGUGUAGCGGUGAAAUGCUUAGAUAUCACGAAGAACUCCGAUUGCGA
rnacentral:rRNA from 1 species